ACUUGUAGCCAAUCAGGUACAUGCACAUAAAAUGCACCUUUAAGGUGCAGGUCAGUACCUGGAUGGGAGACCUCCUGGGAAAACUAGGUUGCUGCUGGAA
rnacentral:rRNA from 1 species